GAGAUACUCAAGAUUAUGGCAGACAGGAGGCAGGACUAGAUUGCAGCUCUGACUUGGAUGGACAGAACACUGUGUGGAGGGUCGCAUCAUGAAUUUUAGCUCCAGAAUGACUGCAGGAAUAAAUCAGGAAUCCCAGAGGACCCACAGACCCUCUGAAGGAAGUGGAUUGCUCCUGCAGGACCCGGGAGACACCCCAAAUACCGCUCUGAUCUAACACAAGCCUUGUCCAGCCUCAUCUUGAGUUUUCAGGUGAGGAAACGGAGGCUCAAAUGCUCGUCAGUUUCCCAGGGACGUGGGCUGGUGAUAUACCUGCUCAUAUCCACUGCCUGUUUUUAGAGAAGAGGCAUCCAGAAUGGCAGAAAGAUGCAUGGCAAUGUCCUCAUUGUGUCAGGCGUGGCUUGGGUCCCUGUACCCUACUGAAGAAAUUUGAAGGUGCCACAGAAGAGAACCCAAAACAAGCCACAGAAAUGAGCCAAAGUAAUUAAAGGUGAGGGUAUAGAAAAGUGAAAUGAAUAAAGAUUGUUUAGGCCAGAGAAUAGAAGACUAAGGGGGAGGGGAAAGAAGGUAAACCUUACAA
rnacentral:lncRNA from 10 species